ACAGCUGAGGGUGCUCUCGAGGAGAUGCGGCAGCUGCAGGGGAACAAGCCUGGAGAUUACCAGGAGCAGAGCUGUGUGCUUUAAGAUUAACAGGGGGCACCCGUGGCUGCUAGGCAGCAUGGAACUCUGCAGUUUUCAGAUUGCUCAGAACAUUUUAUUGUUGCUAUAGCAACUUCCCGGUUUCCAGGAAGAAUUGCUAGAAAAAUACCAAGUACCAAGACUUGCCAGCUGCCAGGGGAGUCUCAGGGGCUGCUGCAGAGCCUCCCUGGGCUGCCGGGGGUCGUUUGGGGAUCUCUAAGGGGCUCCUGUGGUCAAUAAAAGAGAUUUUUCCAUUUCUGUGGGAACUCUGAGCUCCAGGGGGCUUGGCACAUUGCUUGGGGCUCUCAGGUUGCCGAUGGACCUUAAGACAUCGCCACAGCGAGUGAGCAGAAUCACAAAACCACAGAAAUGUAGGGGUUGGAAGGGACCUCAAGAUAUCAUUGGGUCCAAUCCCCCUGCCUAAGCAGGUUCCUUAGAGCAGGUUGCCCAGGUAGGCGUCCAGACGGGCCUUGAAUAUCUCCAGAGACGGAGACUCCACAACCUCCCUGGGCAGCCUGUUCCAGUGCUCCGUCACCCUCACCGUGAAGAAGUUCUUUCGCAUGUUGGUGCGGAGCUUCCUGUGCUCCAUUUUGUGGCCAUUGCCCCUUGUCCUGUCCCCACAAACCACCGAAAGCGGCUGCCACGGGGAUGCCCUGGCUGCCAGGGGAAACCGCGCAGGGGCCGAGGCGAGCGCAGGGGCCGCACUGACCGCCGAGAAUGAAGCUGCCGACGGCGGAGAUGAAGCCGCUGAGGAAGGAGUUGAAGGGGAAGGUGCCGACGCCGAGGCAGUAGCCGAACUGGAGCGCGCCGGUGAGCAGCACGUAGAGCAGGUAGGCGUCCAGCACCUUGAGGCGACUCGGCGUGCCGCUGCCGUACUCGGCCAGGAAGCGCCGCACCACCGAGCCCACCGAGCCCGCGGCCCCCGCGCCGCCCGCGCCCGACCCCGCCGCGCCCGACAUGUUGAGGUCCGGAGCGAGCUGAGGUGGCCGGAAGCAGCGCCGGGAAACGCUUCCGGGGCGCGGCUGAGAAGCGCAGGCGCGUGACCUCCCUGAAGGCCGAGUUCUGCCCAGGGAAGGGCGGAAGCGAGGUGUCAGCAGACACUGCACGCACGCGCGCCGGCUCUCUCCAUCCUUGUGGUUUCUUCUGUCGUUCCAGGGGGAAGAAAAACAACCUAAAAAAAAGCCCAACCCGGAGACCCAGACACUUAAUAUAAACUGUUAAAAACUAAACCAACUAAACUAAACUAAACUACUAAACUAAAGUAUUGCAAGGUCAGCAAUAGAGAGCAGAGGUUUCUUUACCAGUCCAACCUUAAAUUACCAUGUUACAGCCUAUUUAUCCUUUCUCCCAAGAAUCCCCCCUUUCCUCGUGAAUUCCUUUGAUAAGAAGACUGCCCGGUUCCUUAUUUCAAGUGUCCCAACACAAAGCCCAUCAAAGAACUGAAGAAAUGAUAGAAGUGAGCAGGAAGACCAGCAGCAGAUAUCUCCACCACCUAUGCAGUCUGUGCCACCUCACAAUCAAAAAGACACAAGCUAUGAUACUGCUCCUGCCCUAUCAACUCCUCAGCCACAAGUGACCUCACAAGCACUGACUCAAGCCAUGUGUAUAUGUUUCGGUUUAGUUAUCGAUUUGGCUUAUUAUUUUUAUUAUUUGUAGAAUGAUCUGUAGUUGUUAAAGAAAGUAUCUCCUUGUAGCCUGGCUCCCGUGGUCAUCACCCCUUGUUAUGACAGGAAUGUAAUAAUAAAGUUUGUUGAGGUUGUAUUCCUGGUGAUCUGAAUACGUAAACACCAAAAGUGCUGGUGGCCCAAGUACAAAUAAAAUUGUAAUUGUAACUGGA